GACGAACGCUGGCGGCGUGCUUCACACAUGCAAGUCGAACGGAGUGGCGAACGGGUGAGUAAGCCGUGGGUGGCCUGCUCUGCACUUCGGGAGGAGCCUGGGAAGCUAGGUCUGAUAACGGAUAGUGUGGGAUGGGCCCGCGGCCUAUCAGCGUGUUGGUGGGGUCAUGGCCUACAAAGUCGGCGACGGGUAGCCGGCCUGAGAGGGUGGAAGGACACAUUGGGACUGAGACACGGCCCAGACUCCUACGGGACGCAGCAGUGGGGAAUAUUGCACAAUGGGCGGAAGCCUCAUGCAGCGACGCCGCGUGGGGGAUGACGGCCUUCGGGUUGUAAACGCCUUUCACCAUCGACGCGGUAGAUGGAGAAGAAGCACCGGCUAACGCCGUGCCAGCAGCCGCGGUAAUUC
rnacentral:rRNA from 1 species